rnacentral:piRNA from 1 species
UGAUCACCAGAUGGUUCAUUGACCUGAAC